AACAAUUAAAAAACAAUUAUUAACCCCUUUAAUCAAAUGGGUUUUGUUUUGUCUUUGUUUCAAUUUUUUUUAACCGAUGAUAGCGUUAGUAGUUAAAUUGUUAAAUAUUAGAGCAAGGGAGAUGAAGAAUGAAUCAGCAUCAGAGUACAUAUACAUUAUUGAUUUUCUUCACUACGGUGUGUUUUUUCUUCUAAUUAAUCCAAUUUUAAUCUCACUUUACUACUUCACUUCGAUGUUCUUUCAGUCUUUUAGCAAUUAUUAACCUUUUUAAUCAAUUGGGUUAUGUUUUUAUAUUUUUUUAGUACAUCGAUAUUUUUACACUGGAGGUGGGAGAAUUCAGCUAAGUUACACAAUGGGCAACCUAAUUUGGUAUUGAAUUUGCCAUCCACGAGAUUCGAACUUAAGACCUUUCACCUCCAAGUGAAAAGGAAUACCACCAGACCGUAGUACUGAGUGGCUUGUUUUGUUUUAGAUUCUUAUCUAAUUACGGUUUUGCAGUCACAUGUCAAGAAAAACAAAUUCACCACCACAGAGAUAAGACUGUACAAAGAGAUGUUUAUGUUUCAAAUUUUUUUUUUUUUGAAAAGAGGGACAACUGCUGGCAAGCUACGGUUUCCAUCCCUUCCAGGCCCAGAGAGGCAAUGGGGAAUUUCACUUUACUCAUGGCCACAAUCAAGCAGACUCAAUAGCUCAAAGCAUUGAUCAUGAGAUCUCCCACAUUUAAGAAAAUGUUGAAUUUAAGAGCAUCUCUAGUGGAGUUCUUAAAUAGGGAUAAUCACCGUAUAAAAUAAGUAUAAAACAAACAUUGGGACAAAAUAAAUCUCCAAUGGAUCGGAAAGUGAGUCCCUAAAGUAUAAGGACUCACAAGAUGCAUAGUGUAUGUCCUCACAUAUAGGGACUGUAUAAGGACAACUUUUGGUGGAAAACGGGGCCCACAAUCUUGAUUAUAGCUUUUAAUGCUUUUAAUUGUUUAAAAAUGGUUAACAUAAAUAAAAAAGGUGCACCUUGAGUGAAAAACGGUACCUACAAUCUUGAUUGAAGAUUUUUCUUUUAAUGCUUUUAAUUAAUUAAAAAAUGUUAACAUAAGCAAAAAAUGUGCACCUAAUCAAAUUAUCACGUAAAACAAUAAAAACUUCAAAUUUAGAGAUUCUACUAUAAGGACUCUACCAUUGGAGGCAAUAUUCCUUUAGGGACAC
rnacentral:lncRNA from 1 species